rnacentral:rRNA from 1 species
CCUACGGGUGGCAGCAGUGGGGAAUAUUGCGCAAUGGGCGAAAGCCUGACGCAGCGACGCCGCGUGAGGGAUGAAGGUCUUCGGAUCGUAAACCUCUGUCAGCAGGGAAGAACGGUCACUGUGCUAAUCAGCAGUGAAUUGACGGUACCUGCAAAGGACGCACCGGCUAACUCCGUGCCAGCAGCCGCGGUAAUACGGAGGGUGCGAGCGUUAAUCGGAAUUACUGGGCGUAAAGCGCUCGUAGGCGGUAUGUCAAGUCAAGGGGGAAAUCCCCGCGCUCAACGUGGGAACUGCCUUUGAAACGGGCAAACUGGAGUGUGUGAGAGGAUAGUGGAAUUCCAGGUGUAGGAGUGAAAUCCGUAGAUAUCUGGAGGAACAUCAGUGGCGAAGGCGACUAUCUGGCACAUAACUGACGCUGAGGAGCGAAAGCGUGGGUAGCAAACAGGAUUAGAUACCCCAGUAGUC